rnacentral:rRNA from 1 species
UAGAUUAAGUUAUUAAGGGCGCACGGUGGAUGCCUUGGCACUAGAAGCCGAUGAAGGACGUUACUAACGACGAUAUGCUUUGGGGAGCUGUAAGUAAGCUUUGAUCCAGAGAUUUCCGAAUGGGGAAACCCAGCAUGAGUUAUGUCAUGUUAUCGAUAUGUGAAUACAUAGCAUAUCAGAAGGCACACCCGGAGAACUGAAACAUCUUAGUACCCGGAGGAAGAGAAAGAAAAUUCGAUUCCCUUAGUAGCGGCGAGCGAAACGGGAAGAGCCCAAACCAACAAGCUUGCUUGUUGGGGUUGUAGGACACUCUAUACGGAGUUACAAAGGACGACAUUAGACGAAUCAUCUGGAAAGAUGAAUCAAAGAAGGUAAUAAUCCUGUAGUCGAAAAUGUUGUCUCUCUUGAGUGGAUCCUGAGUACGACGGAGCACGUGAAAUUCCGUCGGAAUCUGGGAGGACCAUCUCCUAAGGCUAAAUACUCUCUAGUGACCGAUAGUGAACCAGUACCGUGAGGGAAAGGUGAAAAGCACCCCGGAAGGGGAGUGAAAUAGAACCUGAAACCGUGUGCUUACAAGUAGUCAGAGCCCGUUAAUGGGUGAUGGCGUGCCUUUUGUAGAAUGAACCGGCGAGUUACGAUUUGAUGCAAGGUUAAGCAGUAAAUGUGGAGCCGUAGCGAAAGCGAGUCUGAAUAGGGCGUUUAGUAUUUGGUCGUAGACCCGAAACCAGGUGAUCUACCCUUGGUCAGGUUGAAGUUCAGGUAACACUGAAUGGAGGACCGAACCGACUUACGUUGAAAAGUGAGCGGAUGAACUGAGGGUAGCGGAGAAAUUCCAAUCGAACCUGGAGAUAGCUGGUUCUCUCCGAAAUAGCUUUAGGGCUAGCCUCAAGUGAUGAUUAUUGGAGGUAGAGCACUGUUUGGACGAGGGGCCCCUCUCGGGUUACCGAAUUCAGACAAACUCCGAAUGCCAAUUAAUUUAACUUGGGAGUCAGAACAUGGGUGAUAAGGUCCGUGUUCGAAAGGGAAACAGCCCAGACCACCAGCUAAGGUCCCAAAAUAUAUGUUAAGUGGAAAAGGAUGUGGCGUUGCCCAGACAACUAGGAUGUUGGCUUAGAAGCAGCCAUCAUUUAAAGAGUGCGUAAUAGCUCACUAGUCGAGUGACACUGCGCCGAAAAUGUACCGGGGCUAAACAUAUUACCGAAGCUGUGGAUUGUCCUUUGGACAAUGGUAGGAGAGCGUUCUAAGGGCGUUGAAGCAUGAUCGUAAGGACAUGUGGAGCGCUUAGAAGUGAGAAUGCCGGUGUGAGUAGCGAAAGACGGGUGAGAAUCCCGUCCACCGAUUGACUAAGGUUUCCAGAGGAAGGCUCGUCCGCUCUGGGUUAGUCGGGUCCUAAGCUGAGGCCGACAGGCGUAGGCGAUGGAUAACAGGUUGAUAUUCCUGUACCACCUAUAAUCGUUUUAAUCGAUGGGGGGACGCAGUAGGAUAGGCGAAGCGUGCGAUUGGAUUGCACGUCUAAGCAGUAAGGCUGAGUAUUAGGCAAAUCCGGUACUCGUUAAGGCUGAGCUGUGAUGGGGAGAAGACAUUGUGUCUUCGAGUCGUUGAUUUCACACUGCCGAGAAAAGCCUCUAGAUAGAAAAUAGGUGCCCGUACCGCAAACCGACACAGGUAGUCAAGAUGAGAAUUCUAAGGUGAGCGAGCGAACUCUCGUUAAGGAACUCGGCAAAAUGACCCCGUAACUUCGGGAGAAGGGGUGCUCUUUAGGGUUAACGCCCAGAAGAGCCGCAGUGAAUAGGCCCAAGCGACUGUUUAUCAAAACACAGGUCUCUGCUAAACCGUAAGGUGAUGUAUAGGGGCUGACGCCUGCCCGGUGCUGGAAGGUUAAGAGGAGUGGUUAGCUUCUGCGAAGCUACGAAUCGAAGCCCCAGUAAACGGCGGCCGUAACUAUAACGGUCCUAAGGUAGCGAAAUUCCUUGUCGGGUAAGUUCCGACCCGCACGAAAGGCGUAACGAUUUGGGCACUGUCUCAACGAGAGACUCGGUGAAAUCAUAGUACCUGUGAAGAUGCAGGUUACCCGCGACAGGACGGAAAGACCCCGUGGAGCUUUACUGUAGCCUGAUAUUGAAAUUCGGCACAGCUUGUACAGGAUAGGUAGGAGCCUUUGAAACGUGAGCGCUAGCUUACGUGGAGGCGCUGGUGGGAUACUACCCUAGCUGUGUUGGCUUUCUAACCCGCACCACUUAUCGUGGUGGGAGACAGUGUCAGGCGGGCAGUUUGACUGGGGCGGUCGCCUCCUAAAAGGUAACGGAGGCGCUCAAAGGUUCCCUCAGAAUGGUUGGAAAUCAUUCAUAGAGUGUAAAGGCAUAAGGGAGCUUGACUGCGAGACCUACAAGUCGAGCAGGGUCGAAAGACGGACUUAGUGAUCCGGUGGUUCCGCAUGGAAGGGCCAUCGCUCAACGGAUAAAAGCUACCCCGGGGAUAACAGGCUUAUCUCCCCCAAGAGUUCACAUCGACGGGGAGGUUUGGCACCUCGAUGUCGGCUCAUCGCAUCCUGGGGCUGUAGUCGGUCCCAAGGGUUGGGCUGUUCGCCCAUUAAAGCGGUACGCGAGCUGGGUUCAGAACGUCGUGAGACAGUUCGGUCCCUAUCCGUCGUGGGUGUAGGAAAUUUGAGAGGAGCUGUCCUUAGUACGAGAGGACCGGGAUGGACAUACCUCUGGUGUACCAGUUGUCGUGCCAACGGCAUAGCUGGGUAGCUAUGUGUGGACGGGAUAAGUGCUGAAAGCAUCUAAGCAUGAAGCCCCCCUCAAGAUGAGAUUUCCCAACUUCGGUUAUAAGAUCCCUCAAAGAUGAUGAGGUUAAUAGGUUCGAGGUGGAAGCAUGGUGACAUGUGGAGCUGACGAAUACUAAUCGAUCGAAGACUUAAUCAA